UACGGGGGGGGCAAGCGUUGUUCGGAAUUACUGGGCGUAAAGGGCGCGUAGGCGCCCAAUCAGUCGGGCGUGAAAGCUCUGGGCUUAACCCAGAAAGGUCGUUCGAUACUGUUGGGCUAGAGUGUGGAAGAGGCUACUGGAAUUCCGUGUGUAGCGGUGAAAUGCGCAGAUAUCAGGAAGAACACCCGUGGCGAAGGCGGCUCUCUGGGACGGUACUGACGCUGAGACGCGAAAGCGUGGGGAGCGAACAGG
rnacentral:rRNA from 1 species